GCAUAUCAAUAAGCGGAGGAAAAGAAACUAACAAGGAUUCCCCUAGUAACUGCGAGUGAAGCGGGAAAAGCUCAAAUUUAAAAUCUGGUAGUCUUUGGCUGCCCGAGUUGUAAUCUAGAGAAGUGUUAUCCGCGCUGGACCAUGUAUAAGUCUCCUGGAAUGGAGCGUCAUAGAGGGUGAGAAUCCCGUCUUGGACAUGGACUACCAGGGCUUUGUGAUGCGCUCUCAAAGAGUCGAGUUGUUUGGGAAUGCAGCUCUAAAUGGGUGGUAAAUUCCAUCUAAAGCUAAAUAUUGGCGAGAGACCGAUAGUGAACAAGUACCGUGAGGGAAAGAUGAAAAGAACUUUGGAAAGAGAGUUAAACAGUACGUGAAAUUGUUGAAAGGGAAACGCUUGAAGUCAGUCACAUUAGCCAGGAAUCAGCUUUGCAUUUUGCUUAGUGUACUUUCUGGAUAAUGGGUCAGCAUCAAUUUUGACCAAUAGAAAAAGAUUAAAGGAAUGUGGCAUCUUCGGAUGUGUUAUAGCCUUUGAUUGUAUAUAUUGGUUGAGAUUGAGGAACUCAGCAUGCCUACAAGGCCGGGUUUUUACCACGUUCAUGCUUAGGAUGCUGGCAUAAUGGCUUUAAUCGACCCGUCUUGA
rnacentral:rRNA from 1 species